UAGGAAAAAAGAUAAGUAUUCCCUGAGCUAUACCAAAAAUUUCAAAAACACACAUUUUCUUUUCGAAAGUCAACGCACCUUUUCUUGUCGAAAGUCCUAUUACCCUCUAAACUUUUUCAAAAUAGAAUAAAUACCACCCUAAUACCACUACAAGAAAUAUGGUUUUUAGUUGCGGUACUCAGUGGCGACUUUAUUUGUUGCCACAGAUAGUAGGGAUUUUGUAGCGACUAUAUAAAGUUGCCACAAACACAUAGAGCAUUUGCAGCGACCUUUAAAGUCGCCACUGAAUAUAUGCAUUUAGUAGCGACCUUGAAUAGAUCGCCACAAAUAUGUACCAAAAUAGGACUAAAAUUCACGUUCCCGCUAAAGAAAAGUUUGGCUCCAAAAGUUUUUGGGGCGACUUAUACUAUGUUGCCACUAAUAGGUUAUUGUGACGACUCGGUCGCCACUAAAAGUUCAAUUAAAAAAAAAACGAAAAGUCACCAAAAAUGGACAGUAAAAACAAUAAUAGGAAAAAAAAACAAACAGAACCUUUAUUUGGGUCGAUUUUCAUCCAUUUUCCUCUCUACUCUUCCCUCAAUAUAACCAAAAUCCAUAUGCAAAAUUCAAAAAGCCAACAAUGAUUUCUUUCUAAGUUGACAUUUCCGUUGAAGAAAUCAUGUCUUGAACCUGAUUUUGCUUCUCUCUACACACUAUAUUUGGUUAGUUUCUUUCUUUAUUUCUUAAAUCAUUGUGUUAUUUCUAUGGUUUAUCGCUUUGCUUUUCUUUUUUUCCUUGCUUUGCGGUGACAAAAGCUUCUACGGGUUAAGCUUGGAGACAGCUGGAUUUAUGGUUUUUUUUUUGUUUGAAAUAUGUUAUUUGUUUGAGUUGAAGUGGGAGAAAUUGAAGAGGUUGAAAAAGGCGUAUUUGGGUGGCCAUUUGUGGGGUUUGGGUUUUGGGAUUUAGGUAUUCAUGGUUUGAAAAGUUAUUAUGAGAUUAUAUAUAGUUAAGCAUAAAGUUAUUAAGAUGAUGUAAAGUACUGAACUUUGAUUUAUUUUAAUGUUUGGGUUUAAUUAGUGAGUUUGAUGGUUGAGAUAUAAGGUCACCAGAUCACUAAUAUUUUAAAUGUUACUCUCUUUCCUUGUAAAGUACCUCUCUUUCGUUGCACAUCUUGCAUCAUUCAAGUAAUGGGUUCAUGAUUUUUUUUUUAUUCUAUCAUAUGGGUUUUUGUUUGGUAGUCUAGAUGUACCCAAAUGAGUAACAUUUUGAAUUUUGAUUGAGAAUUUUGGAUUCUUGAAAAGAUUUGAGAUUAGUUCUUUGGCAGGAUUGUUGCUUUUAUGGGAUAUGUAUUUAUGUAUUUGGCAGAAUUUUUGGAAUUCAUUUCCGUUCGUCCAAAAUCGAUUCAGGUGAACGGUAGUUCGACGUCAACUCUCGUCGCCCCCGUCGCCCCCGUCGCUACUCUAAAAAAUGUAGUCCUCAACCCUUUUCCUUUAAAUUUUUGUCUUUAAAUCCGUAUUGAUGUGUUUUUAUUAUUGAGUAGUUAUUAAUGAGUGAUUAGUGUGUAUGUGGUUUGUUUGUUUGGUAUUGUUAAAGGUUAGUUACUAUUAGUAAAUAUUAAUUUUGUUUAAGUGUGGGCAUUAUAUACAGUACCUUAGCAUGGUUGUUAGUCUAGUUUCCCUUUAAUUAGUUUAGUUGAGAUAAAUCAAAUAUGAAUUAGUUACUUCAAGUUUAACUGUUCUUCAUAUGGUCCUAGCUGUGUAAGUAUUUUCUCAUUAGUUUAAGAAGGAUGCUCAUCUGAUUCUCCCCUCUAAAUGAAGAUUUAAUUUGUUGAAGUCUUGUUUACCAUUGCAACUCAAUCUUGUUGAAAAUUCUACAUCAUCUUUUUCAGUUUCUCUUCAUUGUUCUAUUUGAGAAAGUAGUAUUGGUUAGCAUGAUCUUUAGGGUUGUAUUAUCUUCUUUUGAGGUGUUGAUAUCUAAAUGUAGAGUCCCUGCUUGAAUAGAAAACAUGGAAUUACUGGAUUCUUUUAAAUCUGAGGUGUGUAUUUUUGUUUAUUAAAAGGUAACUGUUGGAUAGCAUGAUAUCUUGUUCAAGGAUUAGCAAAUAAAAUGAAAUUUAUAGCCAUUCUUGGAGUAAUGUAAAAAUGGCGGAAAAUAACUCACAUUUGAGUUUAGAUUAAGAGAUGGUUUUCCAGUUUCUCUUUGCUGAUUAGUUUGGAGAAAACAACAGUAAUGGUUUAGCAUGCUUAUGUCCUAUUGGAUUUUUUUGCGUAAUUCAACAUAUUAGUUUGUUGAUUAAGGUUUUCAUGUCUCUUUGUCUUUUUUUCCAGAGUUGGCUGUGGUGUAUUUCUUUUAGAAAGCUUAAGUCUGAAUGUUAAAGGAGAAAUUUUGAUCUGGUUUGAGCUAAAACUAAUUUACACUUUCUCUUUCCAAAAUAGUUGUAUAUGCCUUCAAGCAUGGUUGCGCUAUCCUUUCUUUUGACUGAACACUAACUUUAGCAUUAGCCUAUCUUUUUAUUUGAUUUAAAGUAUUGUUUCUAAGCUGUGUUAACAAGCCCAUGUUGAGUUCUAUAUGAUUUUCUGUGAAAUUUUUGCUACUGAUUAACUCAGUUUCUUUGAGUUCAACAUUAUUUCUUUUCAGUCUCCCUUUCCUGACUUGUUUAAAGAAGUGAAAAGAUUUUAUCUUGGUUGUUUAAGGUUUUCAUUCUUCACUUGAGAUGUUGGUUCCUUCUGAAAUUCAGGGCUGAAUAGUUAAGGACAGAGUUGGUGCUCUCUGACUUUUUAGCUAGCACAUGAUAUGUUGAGGUGCUUAAGCAUUGAUUUUGUUUAAUAUUCUUCUUUUCUUUCUGCUUCUUCUGUGGUCAUUUAGUUCUUUGCUAAAGAUGGGAGUAGUGACUAAUAAACCAUGUGAAAACUAUAACUUAGCAAUCUUAACUGGUAAAAAAAUCUGAAUAUGUUUAUCUUAGCAAAUGUGCUUCCUCUUAACCUGCCCUGUCUAUCCUUUUUUGUAUCCCUCAUAUCAUGUUGCCUUAAGCUGGUAAGGAUCAACGUAAGGUGAACUUGGAUUUGGGGUAGUAGAAUGGAAUAGGACCUUGUUGUGCAUUUGAUAAGUAAACUCUAUGUUCAUGUGUGUAUGCAAUCAAAGUGGCAAAACCCCAACUGUUUUCAGUUACUGUCCUCAGAAAGAGGGAACCUUUUUUUUUUAGUAGGGAUCUAGCCCUGUUUAAGGGAAACUGAAGAGAUGUUUUCUUUUGAAAUAAAAUCUUGGCAUGAUCAUAUCUUUUCCAAGUCUCCAGACUGUAUAAGCUAUGUUUUGUUGGUCCUUCAUUAACUUGAACUAAGUGGAAAGUAUUUUUUUUGUUUGUUUCCUUUUUCUCUGAUCAGUUGUCUAUGUCUAAAGGAACUUAACAUUCUUCAUGAUAAUUGAGGUUUAAAGUCAAUUACUAUUUUAUAAGUUUGAAUGACAUGUAUGUGCUUCUAUUCCUUUCCUCCACCUUCUGUCUUCUUUUCCUAUUUGGGAUUUUCAUAAUAAACAUGAGGGAGGUCUUAUAAUUUCCUGAUGUUGUUUGCGGUACUGUCUGUUAGGAUUCUCUAAGAUUGUUGAAGUCCAGAAUUCUCAUACAAGUGUGAAAUCUGUUUGGAUUAAUGAGCAUUAGGUUUCUCUGGUCUGCUAUGUCUGUCCAUUGGUAUGUGCCUGUUGUUGUUUUCUGCCUGAAUGAGACUAGUUGUUGGCUGCUUGUUUGGCACACCCAUCGCUCAUAAGUUCUUCUUGUUUAGGCUGGCUGACCCCUUUUACAACUGUCUCUUGAGUUGCAUUUUUAGGGUAAGGAAAACACUGCAUUCUGGGCCAAAGUGUUGUUGCACUUUCAGGCAAACAGAUGCUACACUUGGAGGAAGUCAACUACUGUAUUUAAGGGCCGAUAAAUUUUUUAGCCUCUGUGAUCAACAGAUUGUCCAUCUUGUGAGGAGCUGUGUUGUUACAUUCUUUUAAAAAAAAAAAAAAAAAAAACUUGUUGCCCUGAAAAGAGCAGCUGCACUUGAGGCCUGAAUCUGCUAAAGAUGAUUGCAAUCUUCAGCUACUGUUACGACUGGUUACUGUAGAAAACUGCUGCUAUGUCCUCUCUAAAGCAGAAGUUGCACUACACUUGAGCUGUUGUGUUAAAUUUUGCCUUGAGUUUCUAUUGUCUGCUGAAAUAUUCCACUUUCAUGGGAAUGAACAUGCUUUGGAAACGAACAGAUUCUUCAGCAAACGAAAACAACUGCUGUUGCUUUUCUUUUAAAGAACAGAAUGCUACGCUUGAUGAAAUUUUACUGAUUUGAACUUUAUACUACAUUUGGGCCAAUGAAAAAAAUUACUUUUUGAGGCCAUGCCUAGUCCGGAAAGGUUAUCCCUCGGUUUAGGCAAUGAUGAUCUCACAGUGAUAUCACGUGGUUGGAACCGACAUGCGCUUGGCAAGGCAACUAGAAUGUCCCCUAGUUUGCAGCCGCGACAUGAUUUUGGUUCUUUUGCCAUAUUCGGAAUCGUGAGUCUGAGCCUAUGUGAUCAAAGACCUCAAAGUUUGACACGAGUUCGAGGGAUAUUAUUAUUUACAUUCAUAAACGUCACCCUAUCAUUUGACUAACUAUUUUCAUUUCAUUCCUGAGAGGUACAUCUAAUUAAUAUGGGUUUGCGAGAUGAGAUUCUACCAAAAACAAAGUGAAGUAAAGUUGAAAGCCCGACUCAGAUGAAGGACUGGAAGAGCAAGAACAAGACUGUUGAAUGAUUUGGGCCCAAGGCCGUAAAAAGCUAAACUCUUCUUCCCCUUCUUGUAGUAUAAGUUUUACAUUAUUUUCUGUAUGAUAUGCAAAUACAUUUGUAUAGAUAUUGAAACCCCUACAGGUUAGAACCCAGGAUUUGGGUAGACGGUGUUUCAAAACUGUAUCCAAAUGAUAAAAGAGUUGUAUUCCACUCUUACACUGUUUCAUUUUCAACUUGUGGUUUCAUUUACUCAACCAGUUAUCAGUUAUAAUAUGCCUGAAAAGAAUGAUAGCUGUAUAGAGGUUGAAGAUGAAGUGUUACUGAAUGGAGAAGCUUAUCAACAAGAGGAAUUUGAAUUUAAUAUGUUGCGUACUGAUGAUCAAGAAAUUGAUAUCGUGGUGUCUUUACAUAGGGGUGAUGUUGAACCACAAAGCAUUAAUUAUAAUGAUGCAAGUGAAUAGGCUCAGAAAAGUGUGCAUAAUCAGGAAGAUGAUUUCAUUGAUGACAACCAAAUAGAUAUGUCGGAGAAUGAAGAAAGUGAAGAAGAGAGUAUUGACAUAGAGGACAGUGAUAUGGAGUGACCAAAGAAAUAGCUUUCUAUCAAGUCACGGUCAUCUCGGAUUUUUGCAGAAAGUGCACAUCCCACUCCAGAGAUUGAAAAUAGUGGUCCAGCAGGGACAAGGUUCUUAAACUAUCACAAAUAGAGACGAUCAAGGAGGAGUUUGAAGACACCUUGUGUUUUAUUUUUGUCAAAGGCAUCGAAGAAGGAGGCAUUUGUAGACAUCUAAUAUUUUCUUGUUUUUUGUCAAAGGUGUCGAAACAAGGAGGAGUAUGAAGACUGGAUACACUUCAUGUUUUAUUCCUUUUGUUAAUAUGUAAAUGCAUACAAUGGCACUAUGAUAAAGUAUUGGGUUGUGUAUGGUUAAUUGACUAUUUAGUAGGUAUUUAUUUAUAAUAUUCGGCUUGAGAA